UACGGAGGGGACUAGCGUUGUUCGGAAUUACUGGGCGUAAAGCGCACGUAGGCGGAUUGUUAAGUCAGGGGUGAAAUCCCGAGGCUCAACCUCGGAACUGCCUUUGAUACUGGCAAUCUCGAGUCCGGAAGAGGUGAGUGGAAUUCCUAGUGUAGAGGUGAAAUUCGUAGAUAUUAGGAAGAACACCAGUGGCGAAGGCGGCUCACUGGUCCGGUACUGACGCUGAGGUGCGAAAGCGUGGGGAGCAACAGG
rnacentral:rRNA from 1 species